rnacentral:lncRNA from 1 species
UGAUUCUAAUGUUCAUGAGAUUAUGAUGCUGCCUAAAUUGGAUACAUUUGUUUUGCUUACAAAUGAAGGGCCUAGCUUGGAGAAGGAUGAACAUUGGAGCAAGAACACACAUGGAGUUGAUGGCAUGCGCAAGGGGAUCAAGAACGGAGUUACAAGUGAUGAUUUCAGGACUUUGAAGCCACCAUAAGGAGUGCAUGAAGCCUUGGACGAAAUAUACAAGAUGCCACUUCAUAAUAUUCGUCCAUAGGCUAUUCUAGGUGCUGCGUCACCUUAUUAAUGGGCCAGGCCCAUGUAAUUUCAGAAUACUUAAGUAUAGGCUAUUUUUAGAGUCCGUAUGUGUGGGGAAACAAGAGUUAGGGUUGGUUUCGGACCCCACCCUCAAGGGCCACGAAAUUCCCCCCUCUUCCUCCAUAUAUACAGCCCUUAGGGCGUCGUUUAGACUUUGGGUUUUGUUUAGAUUAAAAGUUCGCCAUAUCUGCAACUUCGCGUACUUCGUUUGUGUCCAACGACCAGACCAAGACAUCACAGAACCCCACCUGGAUCAAUCAAGCUUUCAUCUUAUAUUCGCAAUAUCCCGAUUGCAAUCUCAGUUUCUUGCUUGUUCUUCGUUUGCUCGCAGGAAACAGACCCUCGUGGUCAGGUUGAUCGUGCUCCGGCGUGGUCAAUAACCCUCGGAAGUUGGUUUAGCGAUUGCUAAGGCACGAUGUCUCGCACGUUCGUAAUCGGAUCGUCAAGGUCGACUCCCACAGGAAACGAUAGCCACCAUCUCAUCGAAACAUCGAGACACCUUAGCCUCUAUCAAGUGGUAUCAGAUUUCCAGGUUGCUCGGUGAGAUUUUACAGUUUUUCGUAGAUUAGAUUGAGUCUGUUCUGCAUACCUACAGUCCACGAAAAAGCCAGAAAAAAAUAGGGUUAGUUCAUCAUAUCCGAACCAAUCUGAGCCUUUGCAUAAUCUUUUUAGGGUUUUUGCUUUGUUGAAUUUGCGGUUGCAUCGUCGUGUCAAGUUGCUGGUCUUAGAGUCUAGUCUUUUAGAGUUUCGAGUUCUGGUCAUAAGUUGUCACGCCGCCGCCGCACCAUCAUCAUCGCCCAUCUACCACUUUUGCUUAUCCGCCACCGCUCUGAAUCCAUAUCCAUAUACCACCACCAAUCCGUAUCCAUAUACCACCACCAAUCUGUAUCCAUAUACCACCACCGCUACCAUAUACCACCACCGCUGCCAUAUACCACAACCAUAUAUCCACCACCAAUCCGAGUUCUUCUCAUAUUAGGUUUGUUCUUGAGAUCAAUCUAAAUUCUGAUUCGUGUUUCCUUGCGUGCGUAGGUCUCGGAAAAAAAAGAGUCUGGAGACCCCCGGGCAGUUUUUAGGCCAAAAUUUUCACGGGCAAAUUUUUUUUCCCUAUCCUAUUUUUAGGCUUUUCUGUGUCUUUUGAGCCACGUGCCAUCAUAGUGAUUUUUUGUCGCACUUUUUCGUCGUUGCUGCCCUGAUUUCCGAAAAAAGUGAAAAAAAAUUCCGUGCCCAUCCUAUCAGUUUGACGAGGGAAAAGUUUUGAGACACUCGCCAUUAUUGUGAUUUUUCGCAAAAAAAAGAGGAGCGCAAAAAAAAGGAUCGCAAAAAAAGAGCAAAAAAAAGAGUUCCAGAGUGUGCUUUUCCCUUAUUUACGUGCGGCGCCGUGAUUUUGUUAGUGUUCUAGGCUCGCAUCUCUAGCACGGUCUAGCCUAGGACCAGCACAGUACCGUCGUUGAGCGUUUAUUCAACUUUGCAUCUCUGAAUUGAUUAUUGCUGACCCUUUUUGCUACCAUACUAUAAGCCUUCCUAGCUCCACAUACAUCUACGUCGUGCGUUUGACUCUCCCUGGCAAUCGCUCUAUCCAAGCUUUUGAGAAGUUUUGACUACAACGGUUGCCGAUCACCGCCUGCUGCUGCGUAAGAACUGGUAAGAAUUUGAGAUUUGCUUGACGGAUUUGUGACACCCGCCACCACCACCACUUGUUAGUAGUCUGUAGGAUCAUAUUCUUGUGUGUUUCUAUUGCUGCUAACCAUGCCAGGAUCACAAGCCGAUGAGACUGACUGGGAGAACUUGACGAACAAGGAGCUUCAUGAUACGUUUCAACAAAUGAUGGGUGGACAGGUGCAAGAUGUGAUAAACAGAUUUGAAGAGGCCAUGGAAAAGAUAGAUGGCAUGGAGAAGACGUUUGAAACAAAGCUCGAUAAUAAGUUUGCUGAAUUGCUUUCGCAUUUUCCACCACCAUCACCGGCUGCUCCUGCCGCACCUCUGCAACAACAGCAACAACAUCGACUACCUCCACGUCGGGAAACAGCCCUCCGCCGAGCGAGCCGUGUCCCUCUUCAGUCGGGCCAAACUGCUGGUGCUGCUGUUGAUACUUCUGUGGCUCCUGCUGCUGAUGUGGAGGAGGAUGAUUAUGUGGGAGAUUAUGAGGAUGAGGUUGAUCAAAAUCAGAACUACGUGCCACCACCAGCACAGCAACCACCAGGUCGUCCACAUGCAAAUAAUGUCAAUGGUAGGGCUCACCCUCAAGUACGAGAUCAUGACCAUCUCCCUAAACUAAAAUUGAAUAUUCCACCAUUUGAGGGUAGAUAUGUUCCUGAUAUAUAUCUUACUUGGGAGUUAGAAACUGAACAACGAUUUACAUAUUUACAAUAUCCCGAGGAGAGACGUGUUCCUGCUGCUGUUUGUGCAUUCACUAGUUUUGCAUGUGUUUGGUGGUCUGAGCAUUGUAGAUUAUAUGCUAUUCUAGGUGCUGCGUCACCUUAUUAAUGGGCCAGGCCCAUGUAAUUUCGAAAUACUUAAGUAUAGGCUAUUUUUAGAGUCCGUAUGUGUGGGGAAACAAGAGUUAGGGUUGGUUUCUGACCCCACCCUCAAGGGCCACGAAAUUCCCCCCUCUUCCUCCAUAUAUACAUCCCUUAGGGCGUCGUUUGGACUUUGGGUUUUGUUUAGAUUAAAAGUUCGCCAUAGCUGCAACUUCGCGUACUUCGUUCGUGUCCAACGACCAGACCAAGACGUCACAGAACCCCACCUGGAUCAAUCAAGCUCUCAUCUUAUAUUCGCAAUAUCCCGAUUGCAAUCUCAGUUUCUUGCUUGUUCUUCGUUUGCUCGCAGGAAACAGACCCUCGUGGUCAGGUUGAUCGUGCUCCGGCGUGGUCAAUAACCCUCGGAAGUUGGUUUAGCGAUUGCUAAGGCGCGACGUCUCGCACGUUCGUAGUCGGAUCAUCAAUGUCGACUCCCACAGAAAACGAUAGCCACCAUCUCAUCGAAACAUCGGGACACCUUAGCCUCUAUCAAUCACUGUUACCGUUACUAUUGCUGCUGUCACUACUAUCAAAACUAUCAUAUUACUUUGCUACUGAUCACGUUGCUGCAGAUAAUUAAUCUCCAGGUGUGGUUGAAUUGACAACUCAGCUGCUAAUACCUUCAAGUAUUCUUUGGCUCCCAUUGUGUCAAAUCUAUAAAUUUGGGUUGAAUACUCUAUCCUCGAAAACUCUUGCGAUCCCCUAUACUUGUGGGUUAUCAUCUCACUAUCCUGAACCUUAUCUGCAUUACUUCUUCUACCAUUGCUUAAUAAGGCACUCUUCCCCAUAUUCUGUCAGCAUUCUAAAAUAAUAAACAAGAAGACGCAUAACAAGUUUAGCAUGUACUAGUAUAUGAAACUCAUUUCCGUGAACUAGUUCAUUAGUAAGGUGGACAGGAUUAAACUACCAAGUCUUCUAUUGCCAGGUAGUACAUAAUAAAAGCAUCAAACAAACAUAUAUUUAUGUCCUAUGGUCACUGCAUUGUCUUGCAAAUCAAAAUAGAGACACGGUUCAAAUCAUAUCAGUUCAAGACAAAGCAGCACUGAAAGAAUACAAAGCAUGGGAAACUACACGACAUAACAAGAUUUUAGAUGGGUACCACAGGUCUACAUGUACAACAACACUAUUGUCUCUGUUAUGAUGCUAGUAAUGUGCAUGAUAUGAGAAGUCAACUGUAUACACAAUUGAAAUUGAAAUCGACAGAGCUAUUUAUAAGAUCAAACCUGUUAAAGAAACACUGUUGUGCCAUUGGAGUUCUGAUUGGAUCCUUCAAUUUAAAAAUAAGUUUGUGUGAGUAAAUACAGUGAUACAAGAGUAAAACAGUUUGCACGAUAGCAAUGGAAUCUUAAAUGAGAAUAGUUGUUCUUCGGGUUUAAGUACUUGUUCUACAUGAACAGAGUACAAUAAGACGCAGACAUAUAGUACUUAAAAAUGAAAAAUGAGCUCAUAGACCUUACCAGAUUCUUGGUUCGGGACCAGUACAGAACAAGGCAUUCCCAACAAGGUUGUCAGAAUUGUGAUUCUGAAUCGAAUCGGAGCUCCAAUGGCAGGAUCACAAAUAGUAGAAUCUUCACUAUCAGGAUCGUAAAAACGUAGAUUCUAUGAACCAAAAUCGUAGAAUCAGAGGGGUUAGUUUGGAUCGUAAAGUCGUAGAAUCAUACAACAGAAUCGCGAUUCUAACAACCUUGAUUCCCAGUCAUCGUCCAGUCAAUGUGUCUCAGGAGAACGUAAGGGAAUUUGAUGAGUUUCUCUGCCAGUGAAGUACAUUUUCUUCAGGUAAUUCCGAUACUGCCACCAAGCAUUCUUGAAGAUAGCAGAGGUAUUAGCACAGCUCAUCCUCAGUUUCCAAAUCGGUCCUUCUCUAUAGAGAAAAAUGGGAAAAUUUGCUGUAUUAUCAUCAUCAUGGAGGUAGAAUGUAUGGGACAAGGCAAAUUAAUUGCCAUGAAUAACAUUACUUACACAUAACUCCGAGACAAACACCUGCAACUGGCAUUUUCCUUCAUCUUCAGUAUAAUAUUUCCAUGAUGGGAAGAUACACACAUAGGAUUUAACAACAUCAAAUGCGAUAGAUGCUAUACUACGAAUGGCUGGUUGUGCUUCCUCCACAGGAAUAGGUGUACUAACUGGUGGAGUUGGGGUUCGCCGUGGUAGUACUAGCAUUCUGGGCACGAGAGCUGCCUUACUAACUGAAAGUGCGUUAUAUCGACUAGAGGGGGGUGAAUAGGCGAUUUUUAUGAAAGUCUUCAAAACAUGGAAGUUUCGAAGACAAAUGAUAGAAAUAGACCUAUUACCAUGCAGCGGAAGGUAGACUACACUAGGCAAACCAUAGUCAAGUAUUCAAUGAAGUGAAAGCACAAUGACCUAUAGCAGCUAGGUAGUUAGGAUCAGGUAUGAAGAUAUUAUGAAGCCAAACAGAACACGCAGUCACUCAGUGAAGACAAAAGAUAGUGCAAUCAUACAAUGACUUCACAAGGACCAACAGUAAGUAAAGGGAAAGGAAGGAUGAAACCAGUGACUCGUUGAAGACAAUGAUUUGUUAGACCAGUUCUAGUUGCUAUGACAACUGUACGCCUGGUUAGGAUGGCUAGGUAUUUAAACCUGAGGACACACAGUCCCGGACACCCAGUCCUGAACACGCAGCUCAGGACACCCAGUCCUCACCGUAUUCCCCUUGAGCUAAGGUCACACAGACCUCGCCCAAUCACUCUGGUAAGUCUUCAAGGUAGACUCCCAAACCUUCACAGACUUCGUUCACCGGCGAUCCACAAUGACUCUUGGAUGCUCAGAACGCGACGCCUAACCGGCUGGAGGAUUCACAGUCCUCAAGUGUAAUAAGUCUUCAGAUCACACAGACAGGAAGACUUAAGUGAUGUCUAACACCCUUUGGCUCUGGGUGGUUAGGGCUUUAUCCUCACAAGGAAUUCUCUCUCAAAGGCUUCGAGGUGGGUUGCUCUCAAACGACAAAAGCCGUACUCUAACUCUGAGUAGCCAACCAUUUAUGGUUGUAGGGGGUGGGCUAUUUAUAGCCACUAGGCAACCCAACCUGAUUUGUCCGAAAUGACCCUGGGUCACUAAGGAACUAACACGUGUUCCAACGGUCAGAUUUCAAACACACACGGCAACUUUACUUGGGCUACAAGCAAAGCUGACUUGUCCAACUCUGGACAAGAUUCGCUCUCAUAGUCUUCACUCGAAGACAUAGGUUUUGGUUAAGCAUCACUUCAGUCAUUCUGACUGGUUCUCUUGGACCCCACUUAAUAGUACGGUGGUUCCUAUGACUCAACAAAGAAGAAAAAGAACUACGAAAGAUCGAAGUCUUCGAGGUCCAUAGGCUUCAUGCGAUGUCUUCUCUUGUCAUAGUCUUCAAUGUGAAUAUCUUCACAUACCACCUUUGACAUCAAUGUCUUCAUACAUUUUUAGGGGUCAUCUCUGGUAGGAAAACCGAAUCAAUGAGGGACUUCUACCUGUGUUAUCCUACAAUUCUCACAAACACAUUAGUCCCUCAACUAGGUUUGUCAUCAAUACUCCAAAAUCAACUAGGGGUGGGACUCGAUCCACUUACACUAACUACUCUUGUUUGGGAGCUCUAUCAUGGAGAUGGUGCUGUGUCAACAUGAACUGGGUUACUAUCUGCUGAGGUUGGGGUUAGAUUCGGUGAAGCUGGUUCUUUGUCCAUCGUAGUAGGGGUACAAUCUACGAGAGUCUGGGUUAUGUGUGGUAGGGCUGGUUCUCGUGCAUGUACAACCGGGGUGCUAUCUCCACCAAGAGGUAGCACUGUUUUAUUUGAAGACCGUGUUUUUACUCCGCUAGAUACUGCCAUCACCCGCUCCAAUUCAAAUGGCUGAUAAACAGGAAACAUAGUUGAAUGUACAAACAGUGUAUGAGAGACAGGUGCAAUAGAUAGUGUGGAAAAAAGAGGGCAUGAAAUAGUUGACAUGUAUAUUGUUUAACUAAAAAGGAUAGCAUGACAUAAUUUCACAUAUAUGAUGACUAACUAAACAGGAUGGCAUGAGAUAAUUAUAUGAUGUCUUUAGUAAAUAGGUUCACAUGACAUAAUUCAUAUACAUGUUAUCUAAGUAAUCAGGAUCGCAUGAUUUAAUUCACAUAUGUGAUUUAUAUGCUAAGCAAAGGGCAUUCACAUAUAUGAUGCCUGAACUAAGAACAUGGUGUUGAAUAUUGUCUAUAUGAUGUCUAAACUAUGCAAUGCAAGAAACCAUUUGCAUGAUAUGAGCAGUAUAACCAUGCCAAGUUAGAGCAUACACCUUAGUGGGGGAAUAGGACUGGUCAUCUGUCUCUGAAUCCAUCUCUGAGGAGCUAUCGAGACCCAGCAAGAGAGCAGCUUCGACAUGUAGCACUGUCUACUAUAAAGACCUUGUUUUCACUCCAGAUUUUCCCAUCACCCACUCAAUUGGCUGAUUCAUAGGAAGAGUAGUUUAAUGUACAAACAUUGUCGACAAAUGGAAAUUUAAUGAAGAAAGGAUGGGCAAGAUAUCAUUGAAAUAUAUGAUGCCUAGUUAAACAGGAUGGCAUUGCAUAUUUCACAUAUAUUAUGGCUGGCUAAAAGAGAUGAGACUGCAUAAUUCCCAUAUAUGAUAUAGAAACUAAACAUGUGGCAUUACAGAACAUGUCUAAACUAAGCAGAUGACAUAUAUGAUGUCGAAAGUAGGCACUGCAAGGGAACAUAUGCAUGAUAUGACCAACAUCAUCAUGCCAAGUUAGAGCAAACACCUUGGGGUGUAAAUAGGAGUGGCCAGCUGCGUCUGAAUCCGCCUCAGAACAGAUAUCUUCCUCUAGAUAAUAAUCAGGAGAGGGAGGGGGUUUGCCAUUGAACCCACCAUGGAGCCAUGUCUGCAUGACAUUGUAUUGCCGCGCAAAACUCUUCUCUUUUCAUCUACAUGUUCAGCAUGACUGUGUACAAUAUCUGACAUGCAUACGAAAAAAUAUAGCGAGAUUAUGUAAGGAGAGCAUGCAAAAAUCUAGAGUGAUGGUAACAGCGAGUGGAUGGAGUGGAUGGAUCCAAAAAUAAUGAUAGCUUUAAUUUAGUAAAAAUAUAGAUGAUGAUUUCUUUACUAUUUGUUUCCCACCCAAGAUGAACAGCAUAGGCAUACCCUAGGUGAACCAGAUAAUAGAUAUAGAUACUAUUCAUUGCUGCCUCGAUAUGUGACCCACAAGUAAUUUUAAAACUCAAGUUUGGACAUUAAUUUGGACCUGACUUGGAGUCUAAGAGGUGAACCUGACGAUAAAGUAGCAUGUAAUAUUAAGCAAUGCAUAACAUAAUCAGAAACAAAAGAGUGUGACUGAGGGCGUCCUGGAUUAGGGGGUGUUCGGAUAGCCGGACUAUACCUUCAGCCAGACUCCUGGACUAUGAAGAUACAAGAUUGAAGAUUUCGUCCCGUGUCCGGAAGGGACUUUCCUUGGCGUGGAAGGCAAGGUUGGUGAUACGGAUAUGAAGAUCUCCUACCGUUGUAACCGACUUCGUGUAACCCUAACCCUCUCCGGUGUCUAUAUAAACCGGAGGGUUUUAGUCCGUAGGACGACAUACACAUCAACAAUCAUACCAUAGGCUAGCUUCUAGGGUUUAGCCUCCUCGAUCUCGUGGUAGAUCUACUCUUGUACUACCCAUAUCAUCAAUACUAAUCAAGCAGGACGUAGGGUUUUACCUCCAUUGAGAGGGCCCGAACCUGGGUAAAACUUCGUGUCCCUUGCCUCAUGUUACCAUCCGGCCUAGACGCACAGAUCGGGACCCCCUACCCAAGAUCCGCCGGUUUUGACACCGACAUUGGUGCUUUCAUUGAGAGUUCCUCUGUGUCGUCGCCGUCAGGCUCGAUGGCUCCGGCGAUCAUCGAUAGCGAUGCAGUCCAGGGUGAGACCUUCCUCCCCGGACAGAUCUUCGUCUUCGGCGGGCCAGUUCGCUUGGCCGCCUGGAGCAGAUCUUUAGCUACGCCCCUGGCUGUUAGGUCAGAUUUGGAAGUUUAAACUACACGUCUGACAUCCGCAGGGACUUGAUCUUCGACGGAUUCGAGCCACUGCCGAGCGCGCCGUACUGUCACGACGAGCAUGAUCUAGCUCUGCCGCCGAACAGUGCCCUGGAGGCCGCACCCACAUCGGCUCCGACCCUUAAUUCGGAGCCAACUGCGCCGAUCGAGGAUGGGCGGUUGGAUGCCACCUCGAGGGCUGCGACCCCAAUGACGAUUGAGCCAAGCACCAGCCCCGUACUCUGCGAGACUCGUGACUCCAAGGAGCCGGACUCCUCUCCGGACUCUGAACCCUCCGCGCCCCUGCCGAUCGAAUCCGAUUGGGCGCCGAUCAUGGAGUUCACUGCCACGGACAUCUUUCAGCACUCGCCUUUCGGCGAUAUCCUGAAGUCAUUGAAGUCUCUCUCUUUAUCAGGAGAGCCCUGGCCGGACUACGGUUAGCAAGGUUGGGGUACGGACGAUGUAGAAAUUCAAAGCCCACCCACCACCCACUUUGUAGCCACUGUCGACGACUUAACCGACAUGCUCGACUUUGACUCCGAAGAUAUCGACGGUAUGGACGCCGAUGAAGGAGAUGAUGAAGAACCAGCGCCUACUAGGCCCUGGAAAGCUACCUCGUCAUAUGACAUAUACAUGGUGGACACCCCAAAAGAGGGAGAUGGCGAUGGAACAGCGGAGGAUGACCCCUCCAAGAAACAGCCUAAGCGUCAGCGUCAGCGGUGCCGCUCAAAAUCCCGCCAAAACAAACAAGGCGAUUCCAGCAGGGGAGAUAAUAAAUUAAUAAUACUCCAGAAAGCGCCGAAGAAAACCCCCUCCAGCAAGAUUUAGCACAGGAGGAUGGAGAAACCAGCCCUCACGAGAGAGCGGCAGACAGAGAGGUCGAGGACGAUAAUUAUAUGCCUCCCUCCAAAGACGAGGCAAGCCUCGACGACGAUGAAUUCGUCGUGCCAGAGGAUCCCGUCGAGCAAAAGCGUUUUCAACGCAGGCUUAUGGCCACGGCAAGAAGCCUUAAGAAAAAACAGCAACAACUUAGAGCUGAUCAAGAUUUGCUAGUCGACAGAUGGACUGAAGUCCUCAUGGCCGAAGAGCAUAAACUCGAACGCCCCUCCAAGAGCUACCCAAAGCGCAGGUUGCUACCCCGAUUAGAGGAGGAAGCACUUGAUGCGGCCGACCGGCCACCUCAUGGUCGCGACAGAGAGGCCUCUCGGCCCUCCACUCAAGCCGCACCCCAUACCAAGGCACGGGAAUAUGCGCCGGACUUACGAGACAUGUUGGAGGACAAGGCAAGGCAAACAAGAUCGACCUACGGAUUGCGUGGGUGCCCCACGGCUCGAGACGGUAACUUUCAUGCUGGCCACAAAUUCGGCGGGGCCGAACACAGUAGACAAGGCUCAUUGGAGCUACGUCACGAUAUAGCCCAGUACAGAGGCGCCGCACACCCACUCUGCUUUACAGACGAAAUAAUGGAUCAUCAAAUCCCCGAGGGUUUCAAACUCGUAAACAUCGAAUCAUAUGAUGGCACAACAGAUCCUGCGGUAUGGAUCGAGGAUUAUCUCCUUCAUAUCCACAUGGCCCGCGGCGAUGAUUUCCACGCCACCAAAUACCUCCCACUCAAGCUUAAAGGACCAGCUCGGCAUUGGCUUAACAGCUUGCCAACAGGAUCAAUCAGUUGUUGGGAGGACCUAGAAGCCGCAUUCCUCGACAAUUUCUAGGGCACUUAUGUGCGACCCCCAGACGCCGAUGACCUAAGUCACGCAAUUCAGCAGCCAGAGGAAUCGGCCAGGCAAUUUUGGACACGGUUCCUAACAAAGAAAAAUCAAAUAGUCGACUAUCCGGACGCUGAGGCCCUAGCAGCCUUCAAACACAAUAUCCGUGACGAGUGGCUGGCCCGGCACCUUGGACAGGAAAAGCCGAAAUCUAUGGCAGCACUCACGACACUCAUGACCCGCUUUUGCGCGGGAGAAGACAACUGGCUUGCUCGUAGCAACAAUAUGACCAACAACCCUAGUAAUUCGGACACCAGGGACAGUAGUGGCAUGUCGUGUCGCAACAAGCAGAAGCGCCGCAUUAACGACGACAAUGCUGAGGAUACAGCAGUUAAUGACGGAUUCAGAGGCUCUAAAUCCGGUCAGCGGAAAAAGCCAUUCAAAAGGAAUCCUAGGGGCCCGUCCAAUUUGGACCGAAUACUCGACCGCUCGUGCCAGAUACAUGGCACCCCCGAAAAGCCAGCCAAUCACACCAACAGGGAUUGUUGGGUGUUCAAGCAGGCAGGCAAGUUAAACGCCGAAAAUGAAGACAAGGGGCUGCAUAGCGAUGACGACGAGGAGCCCCGGCCGCCGAACAACAGUGGACAGAAGGGUUUUCCCCCACAAGUGUGGACGGUGAACAUGAUAUACGCAACCCAUGUCCCCAAAAGGGAGCGGAAGCGUGCAUUAAGGGACGUAUACGCGGUAGAGCCAGUCGCCCCAAAGUUCAACCCAUGGUCCUCCUGCCCGAUCACCUUUGAUCGAAGGGACCACCCCACCAGCAUCCAUCAUGGCGGAUUCGCCGCAUUGGUUCUAGACCCAAUUAUUGACGGAUUUCAUCUUACUAGAGUCCUUAUGGACGGCGGCAGCAGCCUGAACCUGCUUUACCAGGAUACAGUGUGGAAAAUGGGCAUAGAUCCCUCGAGGAUUAAGCCCACCAAAACGACCUCUAAAGGCGUAAUACCAGGUGUAGAGGCCAACUGUACAGGCUCAGUCACACUUGAAGUGGUCUUCAGAUCCCCAGAUAAUUUCCGAAGCGAGGAGUUAAUCUUCGACAUAGUCCCGUUUCGCAGUGGUUAUCCCGCACUGCUCGGGCGAACCGCAUUCGCUAAGUUCAAUGCAGUACCGCACUACGCAUACCUUAAGCUCAAGAUGCCAGGCCCUCGAGGAGUAAUUACGGUCAAUGGAAACACCCAACGCUCCCUCCGAACGGAGGAGCACACGGUGGCCCAUGCAGCGGAAGUACAAAGCAGCCUCUCCAGGCAGUUCUCCGGCCCGGCCACUAAACGACCGGACACCGUCAAGCGCGCCCGGAGUAACCUACAACAAGACUGCCUGGCACGAUCCGAGCAGGCAUAGCAAUGCGGCCCUAACCCCAACCCUCGCAAAAAGGCGACGCCAGUACUUCGCGUACAUAACUACGCUCUAGAGAUACCAUGGGUACAGGGGGAGGGUGAUAGAGACAAAGGUGUCCCAUCUUUCGAUGAGAUGAUGGAUAUCGCUUUGGUGGAAGUCGACUUUGACGAUCCGACUACGAACGUGCGAGGACGUCGCGCCUUAGCAAUCGCUAAACCAACUCCGAGAGGUUAUUGACCACGCCGGAGCACGAUCAACCUGACCACGAGGGUCUGUUUCCUGCGAGCAAACGAAGAACAAGCAAGAAACUAAGAUUGCAAUCUGGAUAUUGCGAAUAUAAGAUGAAAGCUUUAUUGAUCAAGGUGGGGUUCUGUGACGCCUUUAUCUGGUCGUUGAACACAAACGAAGUACGCGAAGUUGCAGCUAUGGUGAACUUUUAAUCUAAACAAAACCCAAAGUCUAAACGAUGCCCUAAGGGCUGUAUAUAUGGAGGAAGAGGGGGGAAUUUCGUGGCCCUUGGUGGAGGGGUCCGAAAUCAACCCUAUCUCUUGUUUCCCCACACAUACGGACUCUAAAAAUAGCCUAUACUUAUGUAUUUCGAAAUUACAUGGGCCUGGCCCAAUAAUAAGGUGACGCAGCACCUAAAAUAGCCUCGGGACGAAAUUUAUGAAGUGGCAUCUUGUAUAUUUCGUCCAAGGCUUCAUGCACCCAUUAUGGUGGCUUCAAAGUCCCGAAAUCAUCACUUGUAACUCUGUUCUUGUUCCCCUUGCGCAUGCCAUCAUCUCCAUGCUUGUUCUUGCUCCAAUGUUCAUCCUUCUCCAAGCUAGGCCCUUCAUUUGUAAGCAAAACAAAUGUAUCCAAUUUAGGCAGCAUCAUAUUCUCAUGAACAUUAGAAUCAUUACCAAGAAACGAAAGUACCUGGUAAUUUAGUUGGCGUGCACGAGCUCUAGUAAUUGGUCCAGUAUGUAUAGCAGCAGGGGCUGUGGGUGUAACAAUUGUAUUGAUGUCCUCAUCAUCCUCCCCUUCUUGAAAUGAAGUCGUCCUCGACGGAAGUUCAUCUUCCUCACCCAAAUACGGCUUCAAAUCUGCAAUGUUAAAAGUGGGACUAACCCCAAAAUCUGCAGGCAGCUCAAGUUUAUAUGCAUUAUCAUUUAUUUUCUCUAACACCUUAAAGGGACCAUCAGCACGUGGCAUUAACUUUGAUUUGCGCAAAUCAGGAAAUCUAUCCUUACGCAAAUGUAACCAAACAAGAUCUCCAGGUGCAAACACAACAUGUUUUCUACCCUUAUCUCCAGCAAGUUUAUAUUUAGCAUUCAUGCGCUCAAUGUUUUCCUUAGUUAACUCAUGCAUUUUUAAAAUCAAUUCAGCACGUUUUUUAGCAUCAAAAUUAACCUUCUCCGAAGAUGGAAGAGGCAACAAAUCAAUAGGUGCAUGAGGUAGGAAACCAUACACAACUUCAAAAGGGCACAUCUUAGUAGUAGAAUGCAAUGAACGAUUAUAAGCAAAUUCAAUAUGAGGCAAGCAUUCCUCCCACAUUUUCUUAUUAUUCUUCAAAACAGCCCUAAGCAUAGUAGACAACGUUCUAUUGACUACUUCAGUUUGUCCAUCAGUUUGGGGGUGACAAGUAGUACUAAAAAGCAGUUUAGUCCCCAACUUAGCCCAUAAACAUCUCCAAAAGUGGCUAAGAAAUUUAGUAUCACGAUCUGAAACAAUAGUAUUUGGCACACCAUGCAAGCGAAUAAUUUCACGAAAGAACAAAUCAGCAACAUUAACAGCAUCAUCGCUUUUAUGACAUGGUAUAAAGUGUGCCAUUUUCGAGAAUCUAUCCACGACAACAAAUAUGCUAUCCCUCCCCUUCUUUGUUCGAGGUAAACCUAAAACAAGGUCCAUAGAUAUAUCCUCCCAAGGAACACUAGGUACAGGCAAAGGCAUAUAUAAACCAUGAGGAUUGAGUCGUGACUUAGCUUUUUGACAUGUAGUGCAGCGAGCAAUAAAACGCUCAACAUCCCGUCUCAUCUUUGGCCAAAAGAAAUGUGUAGCACGUACGUCCUCCGUCUUCUUCACGCCAAAGUGUCCCAUUAAUCCUCCUCCAUGCGCCUCCUGCAACAACAAAAGACGAACGGAGCUAGCUGGAAUGCAUAGCUUGUUAGCACGAAACACAAAUCCAUCGUUAACAACAAACUUGUUCCACAUUCUUCCUUCUUUACAAUUCUGCAUUACAUCUUUAAAAUCAACAUCAUGCACAUAUUGAUCUUUGAUGGUCUCCAAACCAAAUAUUUUGAAGUCAUGUUGUGAAAGCAUAGUAUAGCGACGAGACAAUGCAUCAACAAUAACAUUUUCUUUUCCCUUCUUGUGUUCAAUGACAUAAGGGAAAGUCUCAAUGAAUUCAACCCAUUUAGCAUGUCUACGAUUCAGUUUAGCUUGACUUUUAAUAUGUUUCAAAGAUUCAUGAUCAGAAUGUAUAACAAAUUCUUUGGGCCAUAAAUAAUGUUGCCAUGUUUCUAAAGUCCGAACAAGAGCAUAUAAUUCUUUAUCAUAAGUAGAAUAAUUCAGACUAGGCCCACUCAAUUUUUCAGAAAAGUAUGCAACAGGUUUGCCAUCUUGUAAUAACACACCUCCUAAUCCAAUUCCACUAGCAUCACAUUCAAGCUCAAAAGUCUUAUUAAAAUCAGGAAGUUGGAGUAAAGGAGCAUGUGUCAACUUAUCUUUCAAUACCGUGAAGGCUUCUUCCUGUGCAGUACCCCAAAGAAAAGGCACAUCUUUCUUUGUAAGCUCAUUGAGAGGUGCAGCAAUGGUGCUGAAAUCUCUCACAAAACUCCUAUAGAAUCCAGCGAGGCCAAGAAAACUCCUCACUUGUGUGACCGUUUUGGGCUGCGGCCAACUCUCAAUAGCUUCAAUCUUGGCUUUAUCAACUUCAAUUCCCUGUGGAGUAACAACAUAGCCAAGAAAAGAUACUCGGUCGGUGCAAAAGGUGCACUUCCCAAGGUUACCAAACAAACGUGCAUCACGUAGAGCAAUAAAAACAUCACGUAAAUGUUCCAAAUGUUCUUCCAAAGAUCUGCUAUAAAUCAAUAUGUCAUCAAAGUAAACUACCACAAAUCGUCCAAUGAAAGCACGUAAAACUUCGUUCAUUAAUCUCAUGAAAGUACUAGGUGCAUUAGUUAACCCAAAAGGCAUGACUAACCACUCAUAUAAUCCAAACUUAGUUUUGAAUGCUGUUUUCCAUUCAUCUCCUAAUUUCAUACGAAUUUGAUGGUAUCCACUACGCAAAUCAACUUUGGAGAAUAUUGUAGAGCCACUCAAUUCAUCAAGCAUAUCAUCUAGCCUAGGAAUAGGAUGACGAUAACGAAUAGUAAUAUUAUUAAUGCCUCUACAAUCAACACACAUACGUGAUGUACCAUCCUUUUUCGGCACUAGAAUAAUAGGAACAGCACAAGGACUAAGGGAUUCGCGUAUAUAACCUUUGUCGAGAAGCUCUUGUACUUGACGCAUAAUCUCCUUCGUCUCCUCUGGAUUGGUACGGUAUGGUGCACGGUUUGGCAGUGAAGCACCGGGAAUUAAGUCAAUCUGAUGCUCAAUCCCUCGAAUAGGCGGUAAUCCCGGUGGGACGUCUUGUGGAAAGACGUCAGCGAACUCCUGCAAAAUGUUAGUGACAGCAGGAGGCAAAGAGGAAGGCACGUCCUCGAACGAAAAUAAUGCCUCUUUGCACACAAAAGCAUAGCAAACAGAUUUGCUGAAAUCUAGCUCAUCAAUAUCAGAUUUGGUGGCAAAUAAACAUGCACUUUUCAAUUUAAUUUCAGAAGCAACACUAGAUGGUUUAUUAUUAGGCUUCAUUUGUUGCUCAAAUUCUUUUGCCACAAUCUGAUUUUCACUCUUAUUCUUCUCCUGUUGUGCUUUAUUAGCUCUAUUAAUAUCAUCUUUCAAAAUGGAAUCAGGAGUCAUAGGAAGCAAAGUAAUAUUUUUAUCCUUAUGAACAAGAGUAUAGUUAUUGUUUCUACCAUGGUGUACAGAAUUUUUAUCAAAUUGCCAUGGUCUACCAAGUAAUAAGGAACAUGCUUGCAUAGGUACCACAUCACAAUCAACAUAAUCAGCAUAUGUAGAGAUACUAAAAUGCACACGAACAGUACGUGUUACCUUAACCUUGCCGCUGUUGUUGAACCAUUGCAUGUAGUAAGGAUGUGGAUGUGGUCUUGUGGUGAGAGAACGCUUCUCCACCAUCUCCAUGCUAGCCAAGUUGUUGCAGCUCCCUCCGUCUAUUAUGACGCGCACAGAACGUUCCUUCACAACUCCCUUGGUAUGGAACAAAUUGUGCCUCUGAUUUUGCUCAGCUUGUGUGACCUGCACACUCAAAACACGUUGAGCAACUAAACAUUCAUACCUGUCAGCGUCUUCAGGAGCCAUGUAUUGCGUCUCAUGAUCAGAAUCAUCUCCACCAUGUUCUUCACGUGUAAUAAGAGCCAAUGUCUCCUCAUCAUAGUCACUAGCGGACUCAUAUCCACCAUCCGCGGUAGCAAUCAUCACACGCGGAGAUUUGCAUUCCCUCGCAUAAUGACCUCCUCCCUUACAACGACGACAAAUAAUAUCACUUGUGUGCCCUGUUGAUGCCAUGGAAGAAGAAGAACGCUGUGCAGGCCCCGCAGGUGCGCUCUUAGCCGAUAAUGGUGGUUGUUCCUGUUUUCUUGUAUCACGACUGUAGGAGGCACCUGAUUGAGGUGCUGGUGCAGUUGAAGUAGAAGAUGCACGUGGCGUCCAUGAGGAAGGUCGGCCUGCAGAAAAGUUAGUUCGCGCCAAUGCUUGUCGAUCCUGCACUUCACGUUCAGCUUUACAAGCAAGAUGGAAUAAACGAGUGAUAUUAGUAUACUCCUUAUAGUCUAGAAUGGUCUGAAUCUCUCUAUUUAAUCCACCCAGAAAACGUGCAAGCAUGGCUUCAUUCUCCGCAACAAUACCUCAUCGAAUCAUGCCAGUUUGUAAUUCCUGAUAAUAUUCUUCUACAGAAUUUUUUCCUUGUCUUAAACGCUGCAAUUUUUGAAGCAAUUCAUGUUGAUAAUAUGGUGGAACCCAACGCGUACGCAUAGCAGUUUUCAAAGCAGCCCAAGUAGUUGGAAUAGGAUAUAAUCUACAAUGUUCAGACCACCAUACACAUGCAAAACUAGUGAAAGCACAAACAGCAACAGCAACUCGUCUCUCCUCAGGAUAUUGUAAACAUGUAAAUCGUUGUUCAGUUUCUAACUCCCAAGUAAGAUAUAUAUCAGGAACAUAUCUACCCUCAAAUGGUGGAAUAUUCAAUUUCAGUUUAGGAAUAUGGACAUCAUCUCGUACCUGAGGUGGUGGUGCAGGCCUACCAUUACGAAUAUAUACCUGAGGUCGACCUGCUGGUGGUGGUGCUGGUGGCUGCUCGUAGAUCUUAUUUUGAUCAACCUCAUCCUCAUAAUCGCCUGCAUACUCAUCAUCCUCCUAGGUACCAGCAGGAGCAGUAGCAGGAGCCAAAGAAGCACCAACAGCAGUAACAGCGGCACCAGAAUUUUGUCCUGGCACAAUAGGAACACGCUGUGCUCGUCCAUACUGAUUCGGAAGGGGGCGUAGUUGUUGUUGUUGCAGAGGUGCGACAGGUGCAGCCGGUGGUGGAAGACGCGCAAGCAGUUCAUUAAAUCUGUUAUCGAGCUUUGUUUCGAACGUCUUCUCAAGGCCAGUGAUCUUCUCCAUGGCCUCUUCAAAAUUGUUCAGCACAUCUUGUACCUGUUCAGUCAUCAUUUGCUGAAACUUAACAUGAAGCUCCUUGUUCGAUAAGUUCUCCCAGUCAAUCUCGUCGGCUUGUGAUCCUGGCAUGGUUAGCAGCAAUAGAAACACACAAGAAUAUGAUCCUACAGACUACUAAGAAGUGGUGGUCGUGUAUCACAAAUCCGUCAAGCAAAUCUCAAAUUCUUACCAGUUCUUACCCAGCAGCAGGCAGUGAUCGGCAACCGUUAUAGUCAAAAAACUCUCAAAGCUUGGAUAGAGCGAUUACCAGGGAGAGUCAAACACACGACGUAGAUGUAUGUGGAGCUGGGAAGGCUUAUAGUAUGGUAGCAAAAAGGGUCAGCAAUAAUCAAUUCAGAGAUGCAAAGUUGAAUAAACGCUCAACGACGGUACUGUGCUGGUCCUAGGCUAGACUGUGCUAGAGACGCGAGCCUAGAACACCAACAAAAUCACGGCGCGGCACGUAAACAAGGGAAAAGCACACUCUGAAAAAAAAAAUUCGCUCUUUUUUUUGCGUUGUUUUUUUUUUGCGAAAAAUCACUAUAAUGGCGAGUGUCUCAAAACUCUUCCUAGGUCAAACUGACAGGAUGGGCACGAAAAUUUUUUUUUCGACCAAUUUUUUUUUCAACUGCCCGGACCCAAAAACUGGAAACAGGUCAAAAAAACUUCCUAUAAUGGCACCUGUCUCAAAACACUCAGAAACACCUAAAAAUAGGAUAGCCAGAAUUUUUUUUGAAAAAUGCGUUUUCGAAAAAUUUUGGGCCUAAACGGAGCGUGGCUACCCGACUCCGGCAAGGAAACACGAAUCGGAAUCUAGAUGGAUCUCGAAAACAAACCUAAUAUGCAAGGAACUCGGAUUGGUGGUGGAUAUAUGGUGGUGGUAUAUGGCAGCGGUGGUGGUAGCGGUGGUAGUAUAUGGAUAUGGAUAUGAAUCGGUGGUGGUAUAUGAAUCGGUGGUGGUAUAUGGGUACGGAUUCGGAGCGGUGGCGGAUAAGCGGUGGUGGUAGAUGGCAGGGGCGAUGAUGAUGGUGCGGCGGCGGCGUGACAACUUAUGACCAGAACUCGAAACUCUAAAAGACUAGACUCUAAGACCAGCAACUAGACACGACGAUGCAACCGCAAAUUCAACAAAGCAAAACCCUAAAAAGAUUAUGCAAAGGCUCAGAUUGGUUCGGAUAUGAUGAACUAACCCUAAUUUUUUUGUGGCUUUUUCGUGGACUGUAGGUAUGAAGAACAGACUCGAUCUAAACUACGAAAAACUGUAAAAUCUCACCGAGCAACCUGGAAAUCUGAUACCACUUGAUAGAGACAAAGGUGUCCCGUCUUUCGAUGAGAUGAUGGAUAUCGCUUUGGUGGAAGUCGACUUUGACGAUCCGACUACGAACGUGCGAGGACGUCGCGCCUUAGCAAUCGCUAAACCAACUCCGAGAGGUUAUUGACCACGCCGGAGCACGAUCAACCUGACCACGAGGGUCUGUUUCCUGCGAGCAAACGAAGAACAAGCAAGAAACUAAGAUUGCAAUCUGGAAAUUGCGAAUAUAAGAUGAAAGCUUUAUUGAUCAAGGUGGGGUUCUGUGACGCCUUUGUCUGGUCGUUGAACACAAACGAAGUACGUGAAGUUGCAGCUAUGGCGAACUUUUAAUCUAAACAAAACCCAAAGUCUAAACGAUGCCCUAAGGGCUGUAUAUAUGGAGGAAGAGGGGGGAAUUUCGUGGCCCUUGGUGGAGGUGUCCGAAAUCAACCCUAUCUCUUGUUUCCCCACACAUACGGACUCUAAAAAUAGCCUAUACUUAUGUAUUUCGAAAUUACAUGGGCCUGGCCCAAUAAUAAGGUGACGCAGCACCUAAAAUAGCCUCGGGACGAAAUUUAUGAAGUGGCAUCUUGUAUAUUUCGUCCAAGGCUUCAUGCACCCAUUAUGGUGGCUUCAAAGUCCCGAAAUCAUCACUUGUAACUCCGUUCUUGUUCCCCUUGCGCAUGCCAUCAUCUCCAUGCUUGUUCUUGCUCCAAUGUUCAUCCUUCUCCAAGCUAGGCCCUUCAUUUGUAAGCAAAACAAAUGUAUCCAAUUUAGGCAGCAUCAUAUUCUCAUGAACAUUAGAAUCGUUACCAAGAAACGAAAGUACCUGGUAAUUUAGUUGGCGUGCACGAGCUCUAGUAAUUGGUCCAGUAUGUAUAGCAGCAGGGGCUGUGGGUGUAACAAUUGUAUUGAUGUCCUCAUCAGAGGGGCACCAUCACGGCACGCCCAAAACACGGCUUAAACCGUACCAGGGGCUGCCAAUUUUUUAAUUUUCUUUUACUUUCAAGACUCCAUCCUUCGGAAGGCCUAUUCGGCAGUUCAAUUGCCGCACAAACGAUGCAAGAACCAGGGAAGCAGACAAGCCACGUCGCAUUACGGAACUCCCAGGUGGUCUCUAUCACGAGCAGUAUACCCGUUCCGCAUACUAUUCCGCAGCUUGCCCCUGGAACGGACAUGUUAACUAGUCCAACCUUCCACUUAUCGCAUUGUUUGUAUCGUUCUGCUUUGAUCGCAGCCCUUUUUAAUAAACAAUGCAUAGCUUUCGUCUAUUUUUGCAUUACCUUUUUUCUUUAUAUAUGUUCCUUAACGACAUGUUACACCCGUACACGUUGGUACGGUCAAAAUACGCCAGGGGCUUUAGUACCCCUCAAUAUGGUGUAAGAAGUCCAAACACUUUAACAAGUGCGGCACCCCGAAUUUAUAACAUUAUAUGCAUCGGCUCCGGAUCAUGUCUUGGGUCAAUAGUUGGGUUUGCCCGGCUCCUAUGUUUUGGUGCCUUACGUUCCGCUAUAUCGGCUAAGGUAGCACUAGGAGAACCACUGCGAUUGUGCCCUAGUUGAGCUGGGUCGAGCACCUCAGUGGAGAAAGCUAAAACUGACUGUCAUGAUGAAGCGAGAGCUGGUCGCUGUUCGAGUGGUUUUUUCGAGUCCCUAAAGACUUAUGCCGCUUAGGGCGAGGAGCCGGCUCUGUCCGGCCAAGGCGUUGAUAGCGCCCCGAACUCGGUCUUCUGAAUACCAGGGGCUUCGCCGAAAUUUAAAAUUAUAGAAUUCUAUGGCUAAGUGAGAGUGUUCACGCAUUAUAGUCCGAUUGCCUUGUUCGUUGGGCUGAGCGCCUCCCUCGAAGGACCCAAACAUGGGAAAAAGAGCGCUCAGGUUUAUCCCCGAACACCCCAGCACUAGCGGCACGGGGGCAGAAGCCGAUGACUCGCCAUCUCUCAGAAUUGAUAAACAGCCGCACAGGAGGUAAUAUUUUAAAUUCCAACAGCAUUGCUUAGCGCAUAUAAACAAGUUUUCAGCGUACAGGACAAAACGAGCAAGUUUCACUCAAAAAUUACAUCCCUAGAACAUUCAUCCGCCACAAGGCGGGCACCCUUCAGAACAUCCUUAUAGUAAUUCUCAGGCUUGCGAUGCUCUUUCCCCGGCGGUGGCCCAUCCUUCACAAGCUUCUCAGCAUCCAGCUUGCCCCAGUGCACCUUAGCAUGGGCAAGGGCCCUACAGGCACCCUCAAUGCAGACGGAGCGCUUGAUGACUUCGUGCCUUGGACAGGCCUCCACCAGCCGCCGCACCAGCCCGAAAUAGCUCCCAGGCAGAGCCCCUCCAGGCCACAGCCGAACAAUGAGGCCCUUCAUGGCCUGUUCGGACGCCUUGUGGAGCUCGACCAGUUGCUUCAGUUGGUCGCUCAGGGGCACGGGAUGUCCGGCCUCAGCAUACUGAGACCAGAACACCUUAUCCGUCGAGCUUCCCUCCUUGGCUCGAUAGAAUAUAGCGGCAUUGGACACACUCCGGGGAAGAUCUGCAAACGCUCCUGGAGAGCUCCAGAUUCGGGUAAGUAAAAAGUAACUCAUGUUUAUGUGUUUGCUUUGCAUAAAGAAUGCCUUACCCGCCACUAUCUUCUUCACCUCAUCCAACUCUUGGAGGGUCUUCUGGGAUUCGGCUUUGGCAGACUUGGCAUUUUCAAUAGCCACCACGAGCUCGGACGCUCGCGUCUUUGAGUCAAGCUCCAAACUCUCAUGUUUUUCCAUGAGAGCCUGGAGCUCUUGCCGCACCUUGCCAACCUCGGCCUCAUACUUCUCCCGCUCGGUGCGCUCCGAGGCCGCACUCUUCUCGGCCUCGACCAGCGCUCGCUUAAGGGUCACCACCUCAGACGUGGCCCCUACAAUAGCCACAAUAAUCCUGUCAUUCUUUGCAACUGCACCUUUUUAUAUAUAUUUCUAACAAGGUAUUUCUUACCUUCGUUGUCCUCGAGCUGCUUCUUGGCACGACCGAGCUCUUGCUCGGACCGCUCAAGGUUCUGCUUUAGCGUGUCCACUUCCGCAGUCAGUGCGGCGGACGCAAGCAAAGAAGCCUGCAUACGCAUAUUGACUCCUUUUGUUAGACUCCUGUGAAUUUUAUUUGAUCCUCUAUUCGGCUUUUCUUCCCGAAUGCCAAACAGAGCAUCAGGGGCUACUGUCUAUGCGGUAAUAUUAUUUACACAUUCUUUACUUACCCCAAAGCCUGUCAAAAGGCUAGUACAAGCUUCAGUCAGUCCGCUCUUAGCGGACUGAACCUUCUGGACCACCGCACUCAUAAUGGCACGGUGCUCCUCGUCAAUGGAGGCGCCUUGGAGCGCCUCCAACAUAUUGUCUGGCGCCUCCGGUUGGACGGGGGCCACCGGCACGGCGGACUUGCUCCUCUUGGAAGGAGGUCCCCCGCCGGACUCUAGAACCUCUGAAGGUUCCGGAGCGGUGUCCGGCCUAGAGCCGGACUUGGAGCCCCGAGGGGUUUCAUCCCCUUUACUCCUGGAGUCCAGGAGGUUGCCUUGCGGCGCCUCCAGGACCACCUCCUCCCAGCUUGGAACCUGUUGAGACAACACUUCGGUGUCGUCCGUCGGGCGGGGGAAGGAAGCCGUCGGAAGCGAGUUCACAUCCGACGAGUCCAGUGAGCCGCUCGACGAUGCGUCGAGCCGGUCUUUGGGUGGGCUGCAUAAACAUAUUCGACAUGAGCGAAAGCUAUGCAAUAAACGAAUACUAUGAAUUACUUUGGUAUCCGGAUACUUACGAUUUGGCCAGGGGCUUGGCCCUAGGCGCCCACUCCUCUCCGCCGCCGUCGGCGUUGGUGGAGCAGUCCGGAGGAAGGCUUUUCCCCUUCUUGGACCCUUCGGCCUCCCCAGUUGGGGCGGCCUUCCUUUUCUUCCCUUCCCCCGCUGGAGGGGGAGGGGUCUCUUCUUCCUCCUCCUCGUCUUCGCGGGAGGAGUGCGUCUUGGAUUCGUCGGAUGAUGAAUCCGACACCUCCGGGCGCCGGGCACUCUUUCGAGUCCCCGUGGCCUUCUUCUUGACCUUCUUCUCCGGCACCACAUACGGUGCCGGAACCAGCAGCUUCGCCAAGCGAGCUUCCGUUGGGCCUUCGGGCAAAGGAGCCGGACAAUUGAUCUGUCCGGAGGUCACCUGCCAAUCUUGUCAAAGGUAAGGGAGUUUAGAUCCCGCAUGGAGUCAAACUAUGAAAAACUGGUACCCUGUAAAAGGAAAAAAUAGCUUACCGCGAGAGCGUGACACUGCACACUGAAUCAAUGAUCCUCAGUAGCGGAUGCGGGAGCCUCGGCGCCCUUGAAAAGCACCUUCCAGGCAUCUUCGUAUGUCAUGUCGAAGAGCCUGCUCAGAGUUUGGUGCAGCGCCGGGUCGAACUCCCACAGGUUGAAAGCCCGUUGUUGGCAUGAGAGGAUCAAGCGGAUGAGCAUAACCUGGAGUACGUUGACAAGUUUGAGCUUCUUGUCCACCAGGGUUUUGACGCAUGUUUGGAGUCCGGUUAGCUCUCCUUUUUUUACCCCACGAUAGGCCCGUCUCUUUCCAGGACGUGAGCCGCGUUGGGGGUCCGGACCGAAACUCGGGGGUUGCGACCCAUUCGGCGUCGCGCGGCUCGGUGAUGUAAAACCACCCCGAUUGCCACCCCUUCAGGGUCUCCACAAAGGAGCCCUCGAGCCAGAGGACGUUGGCCAUCUUGCCCACCAUGGCGCCUCCGCACUCCGCCUGGCUGCCGCGCACCACCUUCGGCUUGACGUUGAAAGUCUUGAGCCAGAGCCCGAAAUGGGGGCGGAUGCAGAGGAAGGCCUCGCACACGACGAUAAACGCCGACAUGUUGAGGACGAUGUUCGGGGCCAGAUCAUGGAAAUCCAGGCCGUAGUAGAACAUGAGCCCUCGGACAAAUGGGUGGAGAGGGAAGCCCAGUCCGCGGAGGAAAUGGGGGAGGAACACCACCCUCUCAUGGGGCCUAGGGGUGGGGAUGAGCUGCCCCUUUUCGGGGAGCCGGUACGCGAUGUCGUUAGACAGGUAUCCAGCCUUCCUCAGCUUUUUGAUAUGUCCCUCCAUGAUGGAGGAGACCAUCCACUUGCCUCCCGCUCCGGACAUGGCUGGAGAAGGUUGAGGUGGGGAGUGCGGACUUGGGCGCUGGAGCUCGAGUGCGCAAGAAUGGAUAGGCGAAGGAGGAAGAAGGCGUAGGUGAAAAGGUGGAUCCUUAUCCCCUUAUAUGGGUGGACACAACUACAUCUCCCCACCAGCCUGGUAAAACUCGCUUAUCUCCAAGCACCAUAAUCAAUGGCGCGGUUGGGUUACCCACGCCCGUAUUGAUGAGAAUCCCGAAAUAAGGGGACACGAUCUUUGCUUUAACAAGACGUGCCAAGGAAACCGCCUCGCAUAACGCGCUGAGAUGGGACAGUAAAACGGUUCGAAUAAAAGCUUGGCCGUGGUGUGAUGUCACACUACGGAAUACGUCAGCAGAUUAGAUUUGUGUAAAUAUUAUUCUCUCUAUGGCAAUAUGUGGAAACUUAUUUUGCAGAGCCGGACACUAUCUUUGUGUUCAAAACCUUCUAUGAAGUACUCGGAGGAGGAACCCGCCUUGCAAUGCCGAAGACAAUCUACGCGCCAGACUCAUCGUCAUUGAAGCCUGGUUCAGGGGCUACUGAGGGAGUCCUGGAUUAGGGGGUGUUCGGAUAGCCGGACUAUACCUUCAGCCGGACUCCUGGACUAUGGAGAUACAAGAUUGAAGAUUCCGUCCCGUGUUCGAAAGGGACUUUCCUUGGCAUGGAAGGCAAGCUUGGCGAUAUGGAUAUGAAGAUCUCCUACCAUUAUAACCGACUUUGUGUAACCCUAACCCUCUCCGGUGUCUAUAUAAACCGGAGGGUUUUAGUCCGUAGGAUGACAUACACAUCAACAAUCAUACCAUAGGCUAGCUUCUAGGGUUUAGCCUCCUCGAUCUCGUGGUAGAUCUACUCUUGUACUACCCAUAUCAUCAAUACUAAUCAAGAAGGACGUAGGGUUUUACCUCCAUCGAGAGGGCCUGAACCUGGGUAAAACUUCGUGUCCCUUGCCUCCUGUUACCAUCCGGCCUAGACACACGGAUCGGGACCCCCUACCCGAGAUCCGCCGGUUUUGACACCGACAGUGACCUCUCUUCUAGACCCGUGUACUCCUCAGGCUCAUCUGCUGAGUCGAUGAUGGUGAUGCAGUUGUGGUGGGUGCCGGCGGCAGGGAAGGAGAUAUGAGUCGAUGAAAGACGGCAGGAGUCAUGAUGUCUGGUUUGGUGGAUGCUUCUGUCGAUGGAGCAGCUCAGGUGAGGUGGACGACGUCGCGGCAUGAGCAGGACAAACCACACAAAGUUUUCUUCGACACCUACCUGUAACUGAAGUAAUUCUGUAAGGGCUCCUUUGGCUUGCAGAAUUCUAAAAACGUAGGGAUAGGAAAAACACCGGAAUAGGUUAGGAAUGCACGUGGAAAACAGAGCAUUGUAAACACAAGAUUUCUGUCAACUUGUGUGUUUGGUUCAUAGUUAUUGUAAGAGCAGAGGAAUGCAAAGAAACAUGGCCAAAUUAAAGUGAAACCAUAUGAAAGCGUGUACAAUUAGAAUGUUAUUCUGCCACUAAUGCACUUGGUCUUGUUUUCAUGCAUAGGAUUUUGAAAAGUAGGUCUAGGUGGAUGUUUUGCUCCAUUCCUUUCAACAAAGUGCAUGAAUAAUUAGAGUGCCAUAGGAAAAUUUCCUAUUGCUAUGUUUUUCCUUCACUUUUUCCUUUGAACCAAAAUAGCCCUAAUGGAUCGACAUGAAUGUAGAGUAAUAAAUGAUGUGACAAGUGUACAACCUCUUUGCCGUAGCCGUGUUGACCUUAGCAUCAUUGGGUUGGUUGCUGAAGAAGUUAAGGCAGAGGUGGCUAUCGGAGGUGUGGAGGAAGAUCUGGGGAAUCUAUAGGCAGCGUCCAGGGCACUGCUCUGUUGUGAUGGAUGAUUUCGUCGUUGGAGCAGCUCCGGCGAGCUGUAAGAUGUCGAGGCUGAAGCAGUACAAGACAGACAUCAUUAAUCUCAAGUGGGAUUCUAAUAGCAUCUGCAAUAGAUGAUGUAAAAUACAUUACCAAAAAGCGAUCAAUGUAAAAUUUACAUCACCAAAAUCACCUGACUACAAAGAUGAGGUAAAAACCGUUGACUCUGAACUUAACUGUUGAAACUGAAAUUUACUGUGGAAUCUAAAUGUUACUCCCGAAACUGAACACACUGGUAACAGAGAGGGACUUCACAUGUAGUUUAGGCCGCUCGAGCACUAGUAGUAGAGAAACAAUGAUCUAAAUCAACAGGCGAUCGACGGGGAAUACAGUAGCAGAUAGAAGCUGGAGCAGCAAUGCUUGGAGGAGGAGCAUGAACUAGAGCCAGAGCAGCAAUUCGUGUAGCUACAGCAGCCCGUGUUCCAGCAUCUGCAGCGCGAGUGAGAGCAAGAGCAGAGCAGCAGCACGAGCGAGGGGGAGAGCAAAGCAGAAGCACGAGCGAGAGCCAGAGAAGCAGCAGCAGCGCGAGUGAGCGAGCGAGAGCUGGAGCAGCAGCAGCAGAUCCGGCUGGUAUGGACACCAUGACCGAAAGGGCCUGCACUGAGGGAGAGCUACCAUGGAGAUGUCGCCGGCGGCGCCGGCUUCGAGGUAUCCGCGCCAUGGGGGUGCGGGAUGGAGCACCGUCAGCGCCGGGAGGUCGAGUUAAGGAGAAGGUGCGAUGCAAUGAGUGUAUAAUACGUCUCCAACGUAUCCAUAAUUUUUGAUUGUUCCAUGCUGUUAUAUUGUCAAUCUUGAAUGUUUUACAAUCAUUUUAUAGAAACUUUAUAUCAUUUUUUGGGACUAACCUAUUGACAUAGUGCCCAGUGCCAGUUGAUGUUUUUUGCUUGUUUUUUGCUUUGCAGAAAAUCAAUACCAAACAGAGUCCAAACACAGCUAAACUUUUCGGAGAUUUUUUUCUGGACCAGAAGACACCAAUUGGGCCAAGAAAGUACCUGAGGGGAGCUUCGAGGGGAGCACAACACACCAGGGCACGCCUGGGGUCCCAGGCGCGCCUAGGUGGGUUGUGCCCACCUCGGUGGCCUCCCGCACUGCCUCUUUGCUCUAUAAAUACCCCAACAUUCUAGAAACCUAGGGGAGUCGACGAAAAUCAAUUCCAGCUGCUGCAAGUUCCAGAACCACCAGAUCCAAUCUAGACACCAUCACAGAGGGGUUCAUCAUCCUCAUUGGUGCCUUUCUGAUGAUGCGUGAGUAGUGCAUUGUAGACCUACGGGUCCAUAGUUAGUAGCUAGAUGGCUUCCUCUCGCUCUUUCUAUUCUCAAUACAAUGGUCUCUUGGACGUCUAUUGAUGUAACUCUUUUUGCGGUGUGUUUGUUGGGAUCCGAUGAACUUUGAGUUUAUGAUCAGAUCUAUGUUUUUAUCCAUGAAAGUUAUUUGAGUCUUUUGAUCUCUUAUAUGCAUGAUUACUUAUAGCCUCGUAUUUCUUCUUCGAAUAUUUGGUUUAGUUAGGCCAACUAGAUCGGUUUUUCUUGCCAUGGGAAGAGGUGCUUUGUGAUGGGUUCGGGUUCGAUCUUACGGUGCUUGAUCCCAGUGAUACAAGGGGAACCAACACACAUGUAUUGUUUCUAUUAAGGAUAACAAGAUGGGCUCUAUUUCUACAUAAAUAGAUCUUGUCUACAUCAUGUCAUCGUUCUUAUUGCAUUACUCUAUUUCUCCAUGAACUUAAUACACUAGAUGCAUGCUAGAUAGCGGUCGAUGUGUGGAGUAAUAGUAGUAGAUGCAGGCAGUAGUCGGUCUACUAAUCUUGGACGUGAUGCCUAUAUAAUGAUCAUUGCCUGGAUAUCGUCAUGAUUAUUUGAAGUUCUAUCAAUUGCCCAAAAGUAAUUUGUUUACCCACAGUAUGCUAUUUUUCUCGAGAGGAGCCACUAGUGAAAUCUACGGCCCUCGGGUCUUUUCUUUAUUAUAUUUGCCUUCGCGAUCUAUUUUUAUUUGCUUUUAUUUUCAGAUAUAUUAAUCCAAAAAAUACAAAAAUACCUUGCUGCAAUUUUUAUUAAUUAUUUUAUCUCACGUUCCCGUGAGAUCUAUUUAUCCAAUCUACUACAAUUUUACCUAUCUUUUUACCUGUGAGGGAUUGCCAACCCCUCUCUUACAUCAGGUUGCAAGUAUUUGUUCUUUGUGUGCAGGAGCUUUUUACGUGGUGUUGCGUGGUUCUCCUACUGGUUCGAUAACGUUGAUCUCAUCACUGAGGGAAAUACAUAUCGUUGUUGUGCUGCAUCAUCCCUUCCUCUUUGGGGAAAUACCGACGUAGUUCAAGCCAACAUCAGUGUACAACCUCUUUUGUGGCGCCGAGGAGUCGGUGAGGAUGAUGUUGUUCCGGUGGAGCAGGUUAAGGCAGUGAUGUGGGGAUGGAUCAGCUGCGAUAGACGAGGCGAUCAUCGGAGCAGCUCCUUGGAGGUGGAGGACGAGGCGGCUGAACCGGUGGGACAACGAGAUCAACGACGGAUCCUCAUCCGAGGAGGUGGAUAAGGGAUGUCAUGCUGUUGCGGUGGACUACGUCGUCGGGCAAGAGGCUCCAGCUAGGCAAUGGUGGGUGGCGGACGGAGGAGGAUGGGGUUUCAUGGCUGGAGUAGAGAGGUUAUGGCGGCCUGGGAUUUUGGAGAAAAGGAGGUGAUGGGAGGGAGGAACCAUGACUUAGGGAUGCGCUUGACCAAAAUGAAGAGUGUGUUACAAAAGUACCUCCACCGGGUUGAACUAGCGGCCCUUUCGGCUCAGGGUUAGAAGGGGGAUUUCAUGUGUCGAGAUUUGGCAGCUGGAGGGAGUUUUCAUGCGCGUUGUAACUUCGGGAUAGCAAGGCGCGGGUUGUGAAGGCGCGAGUUUUGGGAGCACUAUAUCUGAAUUUUCGAGAUAUAACAAGGAGCGGGUUGAAUUUUACGGACAAGCCUAACGUGUAAUAUUGUACGUACCAAAUCAAUUCGCACUUCCCUCAACGAUAAAAAUGAAAAAAAAUAAAACUAUUCGCACCACACAAACCGAGAGUCUUGUCUCAUUUUACUGUACAAAUGCUAUUCAAAGCUAUGAAUCCAUGUUAUGUCCAAUUAAAUUUUUUUCGCUGGCUGUAUAAUGCAUCUAACCUACUCACACCAACAUUUUAGUGCAUUCCAAAUGUUUAUACUACUAUUGCAAUUCGAACUAAAUUUGAAUUCGUUUCUCUAUUUGAAUAAGAAUCUACAAUCAUGAUUGUUGCCAACUUAAACCAUCAUUCAUGUAUUAUCUUAACAACACACCACAUGAUUACUAUAGAGAUAGAUAUGAACUAUGUGUCCUAUAUGAACUCGAAUUCAAAUUUUUGAAUACACUUGAUGCUGAUUCCAAAUAAUAGUACAUUUGAUGUACUAACUAGAUCUUCAUAAUCUAAACCAUGUUCCGUGCGUACAUCGUGUUUAUCACACAAAGUAUAGUGCCCCGCCCUCUACAUUAUGACAAGUAUUUAGCCCUAAGCUGCAAAAGCCACACAUUAUCACAAAUUAUAAUAAAUGGUCUAUAUAUUGUAUGUAGUAUAACAUGUUCAUAACUACACCAUGCAUGCCACCAUUGUAUAUAUUCAUUCAUUCAUGCGUCGGUUUAAAACACUAUGAUAUCUUCUUCAAAUAUCUGAAUCCACUUUUUUUAUAAUGAAUUAUAAUCUCUAUUCAUCUUUUACACCCACACAAUCCUCUUCUCUUUGUAGCUAGCGCUAACUUUCUAUCGUGCAUGCACACGCCCGCCCCCUCUCACCCUCCCUUAGUGUCCCCUCCAUUGCGCACAUUCGUUAUUUGUCUUUAGGUCGUUCACCCACGGUGUGUGUAGGCCCCUCGGCUCCUUUUCGGCACACACAUCGGUCGAUAUACCUCUCUAGCCAAGUGUGCCUACCACAAACACACACUUCCCCUCUUCUCUUCUCACCGUCCAUGCCCCCCUAUGUCCAAUAUGGUUCCACGCAUGUGCACACUCCCACCCCUCUUUUCAUCGAUCUCAUACUCGCACACUCCUCCCCCUCGACAUAGUAGGCCUCUCGCACCACCUCCUAGCCACACCCCUCUCCCCCUGUCCGUUUCUCGGGACCUUAUUUGCUUCUAACACAUGCAUGCAUGUAUACCUACCGUCUCCCUACAUAUAGCUAGGUCGACUAUAAUUCUUUUUCCCCACGCAUCGAUCAACGUACCUCACUAGUUAUGUCUCUCCCUUUCUCCGACACAUGACGAUUGAUCUUCCUAUGUAGUUACAUCUGCUUACCACAAACAUACCAACCCCCUCAUCAUCCUUGCAUACCUCCCGGCCCGUCUCUCACAUGCACGUGCAUAAACAGGCAGACAUCUCCUCUCUUAUUGAUAUUGCACUCGUAUCCUCCAUUUGUCUAGCAGGCCUCUUCAUGAGAAGCAACUCCACCACCAACCCUUCGGCACUCUACCUUUGUCUCUCUCCCAACCUUAUUCCUCUGCUACACAUAUGCAUGGAUGCCGAUUGAUCUCCCUCAAUACAUAGCUAGGUGUCUCUCCUUCUCCACACAUAUACGAGUUCAUCUACCUCUCUAUAGUUAGGUCUCUGCCCCUCCCUGAUAGAGGCACAGGUGUCCCGUCUUUCGAUGAGAUGGUGGCUAUCGUUUUGGAGGAAAUCGACUUUGACGAUCCGACUACGAACGUGCGAGGACGUCGCGCCUUAGGAAUCGCUAAACCAACUCCGAGAGGUUAUUGACCACGCCGGAGCACGAUCAACCUGACCCUAAAGGUCUGUUUCCUGCAGGCAAACGAAGAACAAGCAAGAAACUAAGAUUGCAAUCUGGAUAUUGUGAAUAAAAGAGGAAAGCUUUAUUGAUCAAGGUGGUGUUCUGUGACGCCUUGGUCUGGUCGUUGAACACAAACGAAGUACGCGAAGUUGCAACUAUGGCAAACUUUUGAUCGAAACAAAAUCCAAAGUCUAAACGGUGCCCUAAGGGCUGUAUAUAUGGAGGAAGAGGGGGGAAUUUCGUGGCCCUUGGGGAAGGGGUCCGAAACCAACCCUAUCUCUUGUUUCCCCACACAUACGGACUCUAAAAACAGCCUAUACUUAUGUAUUUCGAAAUUACAUGGGCCUGGCCCAAUAAUAAGGUGAUGCAGCACCUAGAAUAGCCUCUCAACGAAGUUUAUGAAGUGGCAUCUUGUAUAUUUCGUCCAAGGCUUCAUGCACUCAUUAUGGUGGCUUCAAUGUCCUGAAAUCAUCACUUGUAACUCCAUUCUUGUUCCCCUUGCGCAUGCCAUCAACUCCAUGCUUGUUCUUACUCCAAUGUUCAUCACUCUUAUCCAUGCCAGGCCCUUCAUUUGUAAGCAAACCAAAUGUAUCCAAUUUAGGCAGCAUCAUAUUCUCAUGAACAUUAGAAUCAUUACCAAGAAACAAAAGUACCUGAUAAUUUAAUUGGCGUGCACGAGCUCUAGUAAUUGGUCCAGUAUAGGUAGUAGUAGGGGCUGUGGGUGUAACAAUGGUAUUGAUGUCCUCAUCAUCCUCCCCUUCUUGAAAUGAAGUCGUCCUCGAUGGAAGCUCAUCUUCCUCACCCAAAUAAGGCUUCAAAUCUGCAAUGUUAAAAGUGGGACUAACCCCAAAAUCUGCACGCAGCUCAAGUUUAUAUGCAUUAUCAUUUAUUUUCUCUAACACCUUAAAAGGACCAUCAGCACGUGGCAUUAGCUUUGAUUUGCGCAAAUUAGGAAACAUAUCCUUACGCAAAUGUAACCAAACAAGAUCUCCAGGUGCAAAGACAAUAUGUUUUCUAACCUUAUCUCUAGCAAGUUUAUAUUUAGCAUUCAUACGCUCAAUGUUGUCCUUAGUUAACUCAUGCAUUUUUAAGAUCAAUUCAACCCGUUGUUUAUCAUCAAAAUUAACCUUCUCCGAAGAUGGAAGAUGCAACAAAUCAAUGGGUGCACGAGGUAGGAAACCAUACACACUUUCAAAAGGGCACAUCUUAGUAGUAGAAUGCAACGAACGAUUAUAAGCAAAUUCAAUAUGAGGCAAGCAUUCUUCCCACAUUUUCUUAUUAUUCUUCAAAACAGCCCUAAGCAUAGUAGACAAUGUUCUAUUGACUACUUUAGUUUGACCAUCCGUUUGGGGGUGACAAGUAGUACUAAAAAGCAGUUUAGUCCCCAACUUAGCCCAUAAACAUCUCCAAAAGUAGCUAAGAAAUUUAGUAUCACAAUCUGAAACAAUAGUAUUUGGCACACCAUGCAAGCGAAUAAUUUCACGAAAGAACAAAUUAGCAACAUUAACAGCAUCAUCGCUUUUAUGACAUGGUAUAAAGUGUGCCAUUUUCGAGAAUCUAUCCACGACAACAAAUAUGCUAUCCCUCCCCUUCUUUGUUCGAGGUAAACCUAAAACAAAGUCCAUAGAUAUAUCCUCCCAAGGAACACUAGGCACAGGCAAAGGCAUAUAUAACCCAUGAGGAUUGAGUCAUGACUUAGCUUUUUGACAUGUAUUGCAGCGAGCAACAAAACGCUCAACAUCGCGUCUCAUCUUUGGCCAAAAGAAAUGUGUAGCAAGUAUGUCAUCCGUCUUCUUCACGCCAAAGUGUCCCAUUAAUCCUCCUCCACACGCCUCCUACAACAACAAAAGACGAACAGAGCUAGCAGGAAUGCAUAGCUUGUUAGCACGGAACACAAAGCCAUCAUUAAUAACGAACUUGUUCCAUGUUCUUCCUUCUUUACAAUUCUGCAUUACAUCUUUAAAAUCAGCAUCAUGCACAUAUUGAUCUUUGAUGGUCUCCAAACCAAAUUUUUUGAAGUCAAGUUGUGAAAGCAUAGUAUAGCGACGAGACAAAGCAUCAGCAAUAACAUUUUCUUUACCCUUCUUGUGUUUAAUGACAUAAGGGAAAGUCUCAAUGAAUUCAACACAUUUAGCAUGUCUACGAUUCAGUUUAGCUUGACUUUUAAUAUGUUUCAAAGAUUCAUGAUCAGAAUGUAUAACAAAUUCUUUGGGCCAUAAAUAAUGUUUCCAUGUCUCUAAAGUCCGAACAAGAGCAUAUAAUUCUUUAUCAUAAGUAGAAUAGUUCAGACUAGGCCCACUCAAUUUUUCAGAAAAGUAUGCAACAGGUUUGGCAUCUUGUAAUAACACAACUCCUAAUCCAAUUCCACUAGCAUCACAUUCAAGCUCAAAAGUCUUACUAAAGUCGGGAAGUUGGAGUAAAGGAGCAUGUGUCAACUUAUCUUUCAAUACCGUGAAGGCUUCUUCCUGUGCGGUACCCCAAAAAAAGGCACAUCCUUCUUUGUAAGCACAUUGAGAGGUGCAGCAAUGGUGCUAAAUCUCUCACAAAACGCCUAUAGAAACCAGCGUGUCCAAGAAAACUCCUCACUUGUGUGACCGUUUUGGGCUGCGACCAACUCUCAAUAGCUUCAAUCUUGGCUUUAUCAACUUCAAUUCCCUGUGGAGUAACAACAUAGCCAAGAAAAGAUACUCGGUCGGUGCAAAAGGUGCACUUCCCAAGGUUACCAAACAAACGUGCAUCACGUAGAGCAUUAAAAACAGCACAUAAAUGUUCCAAAUGCUCUUCCAAAGAUUUGCUAUAAAUCAGUAUAUCAUCAAAAUAGACUACCACAAAUCGUCCAAUGAAAGCACGUAAAACUUCGUUCAUUAUUCUCAUGAAACUACUAGGUGCAUUAGUUAACCCAAAAGGCAUGACUAACCACUCAUAUAAACCAAACUUAGUUUUAAAUGAUGUUUUCCAUUCAUCUCCCAAUUUCAUACGAAUUUGAUGGUAUCCACUACGCAAAUCAACUUUGGAGAAUAUUGUAGAGCCACUCAAUUCAUCAAGCAUAUCAUCUAGCCUAGGAAUAGGAUGAUGAUAACGAAUAGUAAUAUUAUUAAUGCCUCUACAAUCAACACACAUAUGCGACGUACCAUCCUUUUUAGGCACUAGUAUAAUAGGAACAGCACAAGGACUAAUAGAUUCGCGUAUAUAACCUUUGUCGAGCAGCUCCUGUACUUGACGCAUAAUCUCCUUCGUCUCCUCUGUAUUGGUACAGUAUGGUGCACGGUUGGGUAGCGAUGCACCGGGAAUUAAGUCAAUUUGAUGCUCAAUCCCUCGAAUAGGUGGUAAUCCCGGUGGCACGUCUUGUGGGAAGACGUCAGCGAACUCCUGCAAAAUGUUAGUGACAGCAGGGGGCAAAGAGGAAGGCACGUCCUCGAAUGAAAAUAAUGCCUCUUUGCACACAAAAGCAUAGCAAUCAGAUUUGCUAGAAUCUAGCUCAUCAAUAUCAGAUUUGGUGGCAAGUAAACAUGCACUUUUCAAUUUAAUUUCUGAAGCAAUAGUAGUUGGUUUAUUAUUAGGCUUCAUUUGUUGCUCAAAUUCUUUUGCCACAAUCUGAUUUUCACUCUUAUUUUUCUCAUGUUUUGCUUUAUUAGCUCUAGUAAUAUCAUCUUGCAAAAUGGAAUCAGGAGUCAUAGGAAGCAAAGUAAUAUUUUUAUCCUUAUGAACAAGAGUAUACUGAUUGUUUCUACCAUGGUGUACAGAAUUUUUAUCAAAUUGCCAUGGGCUACCAAGUAAUAAGGAACAUGCUUGCAUAGGUACCACAUCACAAUCAACAUAAUCAGCAUAUGUAGAGAUACUAAAAUGCACACAAACAGUACGUGUUACCUUAACCUUGCCGCUGUUGUUGAACCAUUGGAUGUAGUAAGGAUGUGGAUGUGGUCUUGUGGUGAGAGAUAGCUUCUCCACCAUCUCCAUGCUAGCCAAGUUGUUGCAGCUCCCUCCAUCUAUGAUGACGCGAAUAGAACAUUCCUUCACAACUCCCUUUGUAUGGAACAAAUUAUGCCUCUGAUUUUUCUCAGCUUGUGUAACCUGCACACUCAAAACACGUUGAGCAACUAAACAUUCAUACCUGUCAGCAUCUUCAGCAGCCAUGUAUUGCUUCUCAUGAUCAGAAUCAUCUCCACCGUGUUCUUCAUGUGUAAUAAGAGCCAAAGUCUCCUCAUCAUAGUCACUAGCGGACUCAUACCCACCAUCCUCAGUAACAAUCAUCACACGCUUAGAUGGGCAUUCUCUCGCAUAAUGACCUCCACCCUUGCAACGUCGACAAAUAAUAUCAUGUGUUUGCCCUGUUGAUGCCAUGGAUGAAGAAGAACUCUUUGCAGGCCCAGAAGGUGUGCUCUUGGCAAAUAGUGGUGAUUGUGCCUGCUUUAUUGUAUCACGGUUGGAGGUGGCAGCCGACGGGGGUGCCGGUGUAGCAGAACGUGUGGAAGUAGAUGAUGCACGUGGUGUCCAUGAUGAAGGUCGACCUGCAGAAAAGUUAGUCCGCGCCAAUGCCUAUCGAUCCUGCACUUCACGUUCAGCUUUACAAGCAAGAUGGAAUAAACGAGUGAUAUUAUUAUAACCCUUAUAGUCUAGAAUGGUUUGAAUCUCUCUAUUUAAUCCACCCAGAAAACGUGCAAGCAUAGCUUCAUUCUCCUCAACAAUACCACAUCUAAUCAAGCCAGUUUGUAAUUCCUGAUAAUAUUCUUCUACCGAAUUUUUUCCUUGUCUUAAGCACUGCAAUUUUUGAAGUAAUUCACAUUGAUAAUAUGGUGGAACCCAACGAGUACGCAUAGCAGUUUUCAAAGGAGCCCAAGUAGCUAGAACAUGAUAUAAUCGACAAUGUUCAGACCACCAAACACAUGUAAAGCUAGUGAAAGCACAAACAGCAGCAGGAACACGUCUCUCCUCGGGAUAUUGUAAACAUGUAAAUCGUUGUUCAGUUUCUAACUCCCAAGUAAGAUAUAUAUCAGGAACAUAUCUACCCUCAAAUGGUGGAAUAUGCAAUUUCAGUUUAUGGAGAUGGUCAUGAUCUCGUACCUGAGGGGGAGCCCUAACAUUGCCAUUAUUUGCAUGUGGAUGACCUGGUGGUUGUGGUGCUGGUGGUUGCACGUAGUUCUGAUUUUGAUCAACCUCAUCCUCGUAAUCUCCCACAUAAUCAUCCUCCUGCACAUCAGCAGCAGGAGCCAUAAAAGUAUCAAUAGCAGCACCAGCAGUUUGGCCAGGCUGAAGAGGGACACGGCUCGCUCGACAGAGGGUUGUUUCCCGACGUGGAGGUAGUCGUUGUUGUUUUUGUUGCAGAGGUGCGGCAGGUGCAGCCGGUGGUGGUGGUGGAAAACGCGAAAGCAAUUCAGCAAACUUGUUAUCGAGCUUUAUUUCAAACGUCUUCUCCAUGCCAUCUAUCUUCUCCAUGGCCUCGUCAAAUCUGUUUAGCACGUCUUGCACCUGUCCACUCAUCAUUUGCUGAAACUUAUCAUGAAGCUCCUUGUUCGUCAAGUUCUCCCAGUCAGUCUCAUCGGCUUGUGAUCCUGGCAUGGUUAGUAGCAGUAGAAACACAAAAGAAUAUGAUCCUACAGACUACUAACAAGUGGUGGUGGUGGCGGGUGUCACAAAUCCGUCAAGCAAAUCUCAAAUUCUUACCAGUUCUUACCCAGGAGCAGGCGGUGAUCGGCAACCGAUGUUGUCAAAACUCUCAAAGCUUGGAUAGAGCGAUUAUCAGGGAGAGUCAAACGCACGAUGUAGAUGUAUGUGGAGCUGGGAAGGCUUAUAAUAUGGUAGCACAAAGGGUCAACAAUAAUCAAUUUAGAGAUGCAAAGUUGAAUAAACGCUCAACGACGGUAUUGUGCUGGUCCUAGGCUAGACCGUACUAGAGACGCGAGCCUAGAACACUAACAAAAUCACGACGCUGCACGUAAACAAGGGAGGAGCACACUCUGAAUUUUUUUUUCCUUUUUUCACCUUUUUCCUCUCUUUUAUUUUUACUUUUUUCCUCUUUUUUUGCUCCUCAACAUUUUUUUUUCAAAAAAGUCUACACUGUCCUAAAAACUGCCUAGCGAGAAUUUUUCGGACUUAGUUUUUUUUGAAACUGGAACUAUUUUUCUUCUGCGGAUGGCUCCGAAGUUGGGGAGUUCUUCUCUAUCACGACUCAGAGUAUGGCGUGAUCUUGAAAUCCAAAAUAGAGUAACAAAAUACUGGACUCGGAAUAGGACUGGUGGCGGAGAUGAAUCUGGUGGAACUCGGACUGGUGGCGGAUAUAUGUUGCAGGUGGACUCGGAUUGGUGUGAUGGCGGUGGAUAUGUGGUGGCGUAUAUGGACUCGGAUUGGCGGUGAAUAUGUGGUAUAUGGCAGCAGCGAUGAUGAUGAUGCGGUGCUGAUAUAUGGCAGCGGCGACGUGACAACCUGUGAACAGAACUCGAAACUCUAAAGGACUAGACGCUAAAACCAGCAAUUUGACACGAUGAUGCAACCGCAAAUUCAACAAAGCAAAUACAGAAAAGAUUAUACAAAGGCUCAGAUUGGUUUGGAUGGGAUGAAGUAACCCUAAUUUUUUUGGCUUUUUCGUGGACUAUAGGUAUGAAGAACAAACUCGAUCUAAACUACGAAAAACUGUAAAAUCUCAUCGAGCAACCUGGAAAUCUGAUACCACUUGAUGGAGGCAAAGGUGUCCCGUCUUUCGAUGAGAUGGUGGCUAUCAUUUUGGAGGAAAUCGACUUUGACGAUCCGACUACGAACGUGCGAGGAUGUCGCGCCUUAGCAAUCGCUAAACCAACUCCGAGAGGUUAUUGACCACGCCGGAGCACGAUCAACCUGACCCCGAAGGUCUGUUUCCUGCAGGCAAACGAAGAACAAGCAAGAAACUAAGAUUGCAAUCUGGAUAUUGCAAAUAUAAGAGGAAAGCUUUAUUGAUCAAGGUGGGGUUCUGUGACGCCUUGGUCUGGUCGUUGAACACAAAUGAAGUACGCGAAGUUGCAACUAUGGCGCUUUUGAUCUAAACAAAACCCAAAGUCUAAACGGUGCCCUAAGGGCUGUAUAUAUGGAGGAAGAGGGGGGGAUUUCGUGGCCCUUGGGGAAGGGGUCCGAAACCAACCCUAUCUCUUGUUUCCCCACACAUACGGACUCUAAAAACAGCCUAUACUUAUGUAUUUCGAAAUUACAUGGGCCUGCCCAAUAAUAAGGUGACGCAGCACCUAGAAUAGCCUCUGGACGAAGUUUAUGAAGUGGCAUGUUGUAUAUUUCGUCCAAGGGUUCAUGCACUCAUUAUGGUGGCUUCAAUGUCCUGAAAUCAUCACUUGUAACUCCGUUCUUGUUCCCCUUGCGCAUGCCAUCAACUCCAUGCUUGUUCUUGCUCCAAUGUUCAUCACUCUUAUCCAUGCCAGGCCCUUCAUUUGUAAGCAAUACAAAUGUAUCCAAUUUAGGCAGCAUCAUAUUCUCAUGAACAUUAGAAUCAUUACCAAGAAACGAAAGUACCUGAUAAUUUAAUUGGCGUGCGUGAGCUCUAGUAAUUGGUCUAGUAUAGGUAGUAGUAGGGGCUGUGGGUGUAACAAUGGCAUUGAUGUCCUCAUCACUCCCCCCCCACACACCAAUAGUCGGACAUUGUAGGUAGGUAUCCAUGCCACAGAGACAAAAUGCACCUUUUCCCUCUCACAUUCCAUUAGGCCAGCUGCCCUGUAUCUUUGACGUGCGCAAAAAAAAAUUCGAUGGCACUCUUUAUCGAUCGCACACCCACACACUUCAUCCCUGUUUUCGAUUCUAUCGAUAUCUCACGCCGAUGAUCCCUCCACUCUCUUCUCAUGGAUAGCUCCGUCCAUAUAUGAUAAAUCCAUGACUCUGUUUCACACACUUUGCAUAUGUUACAUUUUUUUGUUUGAGAUAUCAUUGACACAUUGCCUCCGUUUCACACAAACCAUCUCUCUCACACCCACCCACGUAUGCACGUACCUGCACGUAAAGAAGAGGUGCACGCACGACACACAUACUCAUGUCUCGUUCCCGGCCACACCCAUGUGGGUACACGGUGGAGUUCAUUUCUAUACGAAAAGGCAGCCCACGUGAUAAUUUGAUGCAUGUAGCGGUUGUUUACUCGAAGGAGGGUUGUGUACCACGCAUAUACGGAACAAAGUUCAACUUGAUUUAUUAGUAUUAAAUAAAGUUGUAUUCCUCAAUGGCACGUACAGAAUAUAAAAUGAUUGUCAUCGGGAAAAAAGAAAUCUGCUCCACUAUAUACAAUGGAGCCUGCCUACCGGGGUUUGUCUCUCGUCACAUCUCACACAAGGCGGCGGUGGCCUCUCUCUCUCACCGUUGGUCACUGAUCCGGCUGCAUCCCGUCCACCGACAAAAAGGGAGGAUGUGCAUCAUUUCUCCAUUCGACGGCGUUGAGGCAGCACGUCCCGAUCUAUGGUACCCGCCGUUCUCUUCAUCAAGCUCCGGCGCGGUAGGGCCUUCACCACUUGCUCGCUGCUGCAGUAUGGGCAGUUCCCGUCUGCCGGCGCCCUCCUAGUUACACCCCGACGACCCUUAGGUACAGCUUCCUCUAGUCUUGCUCCACUGCCCAUCUUCCCACGUUGCUGCAUGUGGAAAAUCCUGCAUGCAGAUCUUCUUUAGUUCUUUGCUUAAAAUGUAUCUCGGCCGGUGUACUUAUCAUCUUGCAAUCUUGUCCUCAAACCAUUUUUGAUAAACCACCAUGCCGCUAUCUUUCCCUUAUGACAUGGAAUAUGCUUCUUUUUGUCGGUGUAUAUGUCUUCAACUCAUGUUAGAGGGCAGUAAUUGUUUCCUUUCCACCUCUUUUGCAAACAGGGCUAUCCAUUUCACCUCAUUCCUAUUGCGACCUUUUGGUGAACUGCACAAAUCACUUUUUUAUUAAGAGUGUUUUGUGCAGUUCCGCCAAAAUGUCACAUGGGCAACAUUUUUACAUUUUUGUGGGACUGCAGAAUGGGAGAUUGGUUUUGCUAUGCUCCUCAUCCAACUCCGUGCCUAAUCUUCUCCAAUGAGUAGUUAGUCCUAAAGAGAGAUCGCAGAGGUGAUCGGCUUCUAUUUGUGUGUGUUAUGUUUCAUCAUCUAGUUCCACUAUUAUUGUAAUCACACUGACUGAAUAUCUUUGCAAACAGGGAUGACCAACUCGAUUUUAGUGGAACUACACAAAAUGAUCGGAUCGUGAUGUCCUCCAUACACCUCUUUCUUGGCUACAGAGCUGCGUGAAACUAGCUACCAACCAAUGAACACUGUGCCCAGGAAAUGGAGCCAUGCCUACGAACAUCAUCGAUCAAUUAUAUAUUUUUCUUUAUUUGUACACCUUCUCACAACUUUGUCUUCAGUUGUGAUGUGAAUAUUGGCGCUGAUCUACGAACCAUUGAGAUGCAUUAGCAACCAUGGUAGUUUCAUUUGUAUUUGAUGGAAUGUUGUAAUGAGACAAUCUUGAGGCAAGAGGACACAUGAAUCCUAAGUUGAAACCUUUUUUUCUAUGGGAACCAAAGUUGAAACCUUCAUAGCAUCACAGUACAAUUUCAUUAUGCUGGGAAAUUAUGCGUACAUAUAAACAAAUCCUGAAAGAUUGAUAGCAAUGCCAGAAACAAUUCAACUUCAUUUCGCCGACAUAUGUGACAUCCUUCAUCCGGCUCCACCUGCCAUGCAGCAAUAUUGAGUGCACAACUACAUGGGAGAUUCACCCCAGUCGUUGCGCCACAGUAAUAAUGACUAGUGAGCAGUCAAAUCAUAGAGCCCCACCUUCGCCACAGUAAGUUGCUCGAACGAAGCAACCAUCAUUUCUCUCUUCAUUGAAUUCGCUGGUACUCCAAUAUCCCAGAGUAAUAAGUUGCUCGAGCGAAGCAACCAUCACUCCACCUUUCCCAUAGUAAGUACUACUCCCUCUGUCUAGGUGAAUAAGUCAUCUUAGGUUGUGCACCAUGACCAGGGAGGGGAAAACGAGAGAACUUAAUGUUUAUUUGCUAAUUAAUAGCACCGCAUGCAAUGAACUAACCACUGCAUGUGGUGUUUGGUAGUCUCGAGUCAUUGAAAACAUGCACGCCCCACAUCUCUUAUUGGUUGAUAGGUCAAGAAACAAGAACCGAGGUGGGAGUUAAUGCACCACGCCUAAGUGUUUUGGGAUUGUUUUGUUUUCGUAAGGUGACUUAUUGAUGAGGACAUCAAUACAAUUGUUACACCCACAGCCCCUGCUGCUAUACAUACUGGACCAAUUACUAGAGCUCGUGCAUGCCAACUAAAUUACCAGGUACUUCCGUUUCUUGGUAAUGAUUCUAAUGUUCAUGAGAAUAUGAUACUGCCUAAAUUGGAUACAUUUGUUUUGCUUACAAAUGAAGGGCCUAGCUUGGAGAAGGAUGAACAUUGGAGCAAGAACAAGCAUGGAGAUGACGGCAUGCGCAAGGGGAACAAGAACGGAGUUACAAGCGAUGAUUUCAGGACUUUGAAGCCACCAUAAUGGGUGCAUGAAGCCUUGGACGAAAUAUACAAGAUGCCACUUCAUAAAUUUCGUCCCGAGGCUAUUUUAGGUGCUGCGUCACCUUAUUAUUGGGCCAGGCCCAUGUAAUUUCGAAAUACAUAAGUAUAGGCUAUUUUUAG